GCCCUGACAACCUGACUUCCCACGGCUGCCUCAAACACAGGGAGAAUUUCCAGCAGGAACAGCCUCGUGAGCCUCAACUGAACACCCCCAGCAAGCCUCACCCAGAUUAAAACCACAAAAAGCUCUCAAAUGCUUGGGAAAACUGCAUCCCAUAAUGCUGUUCCUUGUGGGGCAGCAUAAACACAAACAGAACAGACUCGGAUAUCAAGAAACUGCUGUGAAGCUUCAUCUUCCCAAGCAUGGGGAAGGUAAAUGAAGGAAGGGAAGGUUGUGGACUCCCCACCCCUGGAAGUGUCCAAGGCCAGGUCAUCUGCUCCCUCCCCACAACUGGAUAAAGACACCCAGAUCUCCUCCUGGAAGUUGAUCUAACUUGUUCUUGGAAUCUUUUUCUCCAGCUUUCCAGGAAUUUUUGACAGCAAGCAGCUGGUGACAGGCAUCUCCUUCUGCUCCUUUUCUGUGCUGGGUCAAGAAGACACUCGGCCUGAAAUACCGGGCAACAAAUGGAGUAAAAGCACUUCACACUUCAUCUGUGACUCUUCUCUAAGGCAGAAUCCCAUUUCCCAAACUCCUGCCCCCAGGAAAGCUCCAGUGCCGGUGCUGUCCCUGCACAUUGGCCAUAAGAGGGUGCCAAGAGCCCUGGAAAACCCCUCUGAGCAGCUGCCAAAAUCCAGCACUUUCUGCCGAGGAUGACUCUGGUGCAAGCAGCCACUGCUGGGAGUGGCAUUUGGUAAUGCCAGCACAAAUGGAGCCCAGGAAAAAUAAAUAAGACUGCAAGUGUGUUAUUGGUCAUA